UACGGAGGGGGCUAGCGUUGUUCGGAAUACUGGGCGUAAAGCGCACGUAGGCGGCUUUGUAAGUUAGAGGUGAAAGCCCGGGGCUCAACUCCGGAAUUGCCUUUAAGACUGCAUCGCUAGAAUUGUGGAGAGGUAAGUGGAAUUCCGAGUGUAGAGGUGAAAUUCGUAGAUAUUCGGAAGAACACCAGUGGCGAAGGCGGCUCACUGGCUCGUAUCUGACACUCAAGCGCGACAGCGUGGGGAUCAAACAGG
rnacentral:rRNA from 1 species